GAUGAACGCUGGCGGCGUGCUUAGCACAUGCAAGUCGAACGGAAAGGCUCCUGCUUGCAGGGGUACUCGAGUGGCGAACGGGUGAGUAACACGUGGGUGAUCUGCCCUGCACUUCGGGAUAAGCCUGGGAAACUGGGUCUAAUACCGGAUAGGACGAUGGUUUGUAUGCCAUUGUGGAAAGUUUUUCGGUGUGGGAUGAGCUCGCGGCCUAUCAGCUUGUUGGUGGGGUAAUGGCCUACCAAGGCGUCGACGGGUAGCCGGCCUGAGAGGGUGUACGGCCACAUUGGGACUGAGAUACGGCCCAGACUCCUACGGGAGGCAGCAGUGGGGAAUAUUGCACAAUGGGCGCAAGCCUGAUGCAGCGACGCCGCGUGGGGGAUGACGGCCUUCGGGUUGUAAACUCCUUUCGCUAGGGACGAAGCGCAAGUGACGGUACCUGGAGAAGAAGCACCGGCUAACUACGUG
rnacentral:rRNA from 1 species